rnacentral:lncRNA from 1 species
GGUUACAGUUCAGUAGUGGAGCACUUGCCUAGCAUGUGCAAAGCCUUGGGUUGGAUUCUCAACACUGCAAAAACUAAAGUUUCAUAUGAUUUCAAUGUAGCUAGUGACCUAACUAGCCCCGCCUGAAGUUCAUAAAAAUAAAAAAUAAAUAAAAAUAAAUAGCCAGAGGUGAGGUGUUUUAGUCUGUUUAUUUAUUUAUAUAUUUAUAUUUGUCCCUAUGGCCAGAACACUCAACAAGAACAACUUAGAGGAGGAGAAGCUUAUUUGAGGGCUCAUGAUUUCAGUGUUCUCAGUUUACUGAUGCUAAUGCCAUAGUUCUGGGCCCAAGGUAAAGCAGAACAUCAUGGGGAAAGGGCAUGGUGAUGGAAUCCUGCUCACCUCAUGGCAGCCAGGAAGCAGAGAGAAUGAGGAACAGGUCUCAGGGAAGAUGCACCCUUCUAGGGCACACUCCCAGUGACCCACCUGUUCCAGACACAGCCCCCCUGCCUAUAGUAACCACCCAGUCAGUCUAUUCAAACUAGGAUAGACUGAUAGACCAUAGCUCUCAUAAUCUAAUUAUUUCACUCCUGAAUAUUCCUUCAUUAACAGGAGUUGUAGGGGGACACUUCAUAUCAAAACCACAGCAAGAGGGAGAAACCUGUUUCUCCUCAAUGUCCUUAUCCCUCACCGACUCCUCUCUUGUCCCUUCCUUCCUAUUCUCUCCCUCCCCUUCCUUCAUUGUUUUUGUUUUUAGUGGACAAAUCUAACUCUUGUUUGCUUUUGCUUAUGAAGGAGUCCACUAUCUAAGGCAAAGAGUUUCUCAAAAGUUUUGAGAUUCCUCUUUAUAGGAAAACUAAGAAAAAUUUGCUCCACCAGCAGCUUCUCUAGUUUUUCAAAAUGUAGAUGAUUUGCUGGUAGUCUCCAAU